rnacentral:lncRNA from 1 species
AACAGACAGACACCUGGAGGAUAAACAACACCAACAGACAGAGACCUGGAGGAUAAACAACACCAACAGACAGAUAACGAUAAGUACACAGACAGAGAUAAGGCUCUGGUCUGGACUACAGCAGAGUUAUAUAGAGUUUACACAGACAGAGAUAAGGCUCUGGUCUGGACUACAGCAGAGUUAUAUAGAGUUUACACAGACAGAGAUAAGGCUCUGGUCUGGACUACAGCAGAGUUAUAUAGAGUUUACACAGACAGAGAUAAGGCUCUGGUUUGGACUACAGCAGAGUUAUAUAGAGUUUACACAGACAGAGAUAAGGCUCUGGUCUGGACUACAGCAGAGUUAUAUAGAGUUUACACAGACAGAGAUAAGGCUCUGGUUUGGACUACAGCAGAGUUAUAUAGAGUUUACACAGACAGAGAUAAGGCUCUGGUUUGGACUACAGCAGAGUUAUAUAGAGUUUACACAGACAGAGAUAAGGCUCUGGUCUGGACUACAGCAGAGUUAUAUAGAGUUUACACAGACAGAGAUAAGGCUCUGGUCUGGACUACAGCAGAGUUAUAUAGAGUUUACACAGACAGAGACAAGGCUCUGGUUUGGACUACAGCAGAGUUAUAUAGAGUUUACACAGACAGAGAUAAGGCUCUGGUCUGGACUACAGCAGAGUUAUAUAGAGUUUACACAGACAGAGAUAAGGCUCUGGUCUGGACUACAGCAGAGUUAUAUAGAGUUUACACAGACAGAGAUAAGGCUCUGGUCUGGACUACAGCAGAGUUAUAUAGAGUUUACACAGACAGAGAUAAGGCUCUGGUUUGGACUACAGAUGAGUUAUAUAGAGUUUACACAGACAGAGAUAAGGCUCUGGUUUGGACUACAGAUGAGUCAAAUGAGUCAGAUGAGUUUGGACUACAGAUGAGUCUACAUAUAGAGUUUACACAGACAGAGAUAAAUCAAAUCAAAUCAAAUGUAUUUAUAUAGCCCUUCUUACAUCAGCUGAUAUCUCAAAGUGCUGUACAGAAACCCAGCCUAAAACCCCAAACAGCAAGCAAUGCAGGUGUAGAAGCACGGAGGCUAGGAAAAAUUCCCUAGAAAGGCCAAAACCUAGGAAGAAACCUAGAGAGGAACCAGUCUAUGAGGGGUGGCCAGUCCUCUUCUGGCUGUGCCGGGGUGGCGAUUAUAACAGAACAUGGCCAAGAUGUUCAAAUGUUCAUAAAUGACCAGCAUGGUCAAAUAAUAAUAAUCACAGUAGUUGUCGAGGGUGCAACAAGUCAGCACCUCAAGAGUAAGUGUCAGGUGGCUUUUUCAUAGCCGAUCUUUGAGAGUAUCUCAACCACUCCUGCUGUCUCUAGAGAGUUGAAAACAGCAGGUCUGGGACAGGUAGCACAUCCGGUGAACAGGUCAGGGUUCCAUAGCCGCAGGCAGAACAGUUGAAACUGGAGCAGCAGCACGGCCAGGUGGACUGGGGACAGCAAGGAGUCAUCAUGCCAGGUAGUCCUGAGGCAUGGUCCUAGAGCUCAGGUCCUCCGAGAGAAAGAAAGAAAGCGAGAAAGAGAGAAUUAGAGAGAGCAUAUUUAAAUUCACACAGGACACCGGAUAAGGCAAGAGAAAUACUCCAGAUGUAACAGACUGACCCUAGCCCCCCGACACAUAAACUACUGCAGCAUAAAUACUGGAGGAUGAGACAGGAGGGGUCAGGAGACACUGUGGCCCCAUCCGAUGAUACCCCCUGACAGGGCCAAACAGGCAGGAUAUAACUCCACCCACUUUACCAAAGCACAGCCCCCACACCACUAGAGGGAUAUCUUCAACCACCAACUUACCAUCCUGAGACAAGGCCAAGUAUAGCCCACAAAGAUCUACACCACGGCACAACCCAAGGGGGGGCGCCAACCCAGACAGGAAGACCACGUCAGUGACUCAACCCACUCAAGUGAUGCACCCCUCCUAGGGUGGUAUGGAGAGAGGACCUAGCAGCAGCCAGGUGUGGAACCCCUCCUCUGUUUUCUGUAUGGACAGAGCAGAGCCCCCCCUGCUGACCUGGUGGUCCACCUGCAGGUCUGGGAUGGGGAGAGGGGGGAAACCCCAGUCCACUGGAGAGGAGUGGCACACCAUACAGGACGCUUGGGUGCAGCUGUUUCAAG